rnacentral:lncRNA from 1 species
CGCCAGGCCGGUAUGGAAAGUGAUGUAAUUCUUCAUCGACUUCUCCGACGCGCACGGCAUCGACACUUGGUCGCCGCAAGGGACGCCUUCAAGUGACACAUUAUCGUCGACAUGCUGCUGCGACGUCAUCGCCGACACUUCAUCGCCAAGGUCUUCAUCAACAUGGUCUUCACCAACAUCUUCGUCAACACGCCGCCGCCCCUCGUCCACAAGAUGGAC